CGCUUCGUCUAUGAGAAGACGGGCGGAUGCCAGAAGCUCGUCAAGAACAUCGAGUACCCUGUGGACUUGGAGAUCAGCAGAGAACUGCUUUCUCCAGGCGUCAAAAAUAAAAACUUUAAAUGCCACAGAACCUAUAGGCUGUUCGCAGGUGAGUGUGUUUGCCCUCUUCUCCCUCAAAACCACAGUGAACAGAGAGUCUAAGGUACCAGGCAAAAAUGCCCUGGAACACACACCACAGACAGGGUCCAAGGAGAGCUCAGUUGUCUGUAAAGCAUUUGUGCCCGUUUUUGCCUUGAGUCGUGGCUGACAGGAGAGAGUGUUGCUGUCUGUGAGCAUCCGCCUGAGUCAGUGGCCUGCAGGCUCCUGUGGUGCCACCUCCCUUUGGAACAGUUGGGUGGGGGUCGGUGAGGAGGGUGUGAGGGUGGGGGUCUGAGGCAGUGGGGUGAGGGGCUGUUCUCACGGGCUGCCCGCUUGGUGCUG
rnacentral:lncRNA from 1 species